rnacentral:rRNA from 1 species
UAGGCGGACGGGUGAGUAAUGUCUGGGAAACUGCCUGAUGGAGGGGGAUAACUACUGGAAACGGUAGCUAAUACCGCAUAACGUCGCAAGACCAAAGAGGGGGACCUUCGGGCCUCUUGCCAUCGGAUGUGCCCAGAUGGGAUUAGCUAGUAGGUGGGGUAACGGCUCACCUAGGCGACGAUCCCUAGCUGGUCUGAGAGGAUGACCAGCCACACUGGAACUGAGACACGGUCCAG